rnacentral:lncRNA from 10 species
UUUUUUUAUUUUUUUUGUAGAGACAGGGUUUCACCAUGUUGCCCAGGCUGGUCUCAAACUCCCAGGCUCAAGCAAUUUGCUGGCCUCGGCCUCCCAAAGUGCUGAGAUUACAGGCAUGAGCCACUGCACCUGGCCUUACCUUAUGGCUUUUCAAAAUCAGGUCAUGGCCAAAAAUCAGUUUUAAAACUAAAGAGUUGGGAGUUUCCUUGGUUAUCUCCAAUCUCAUCUCACUUCUAACUGAUGGCAGGAACGGGGGUCUGCCCUGACCCAGGGUCCUCCCAUUUAGGACCGUCUUGGAUCCGUCUCCUUAAGUCUUGGCCUAGCCUUCUCCUUAAGAUUUUGAUGACACAAUCAUUGGUUUCCCUGCAGCAGUCAGAUGUGGCUUCCCUUUUACAGAACAGUCAGGUAGGGUGCCCAGCUGGUGUUCUGGCCUCCACGGGCAGGCAGCAGGGAGGGUUUCCAGGUGGCCCAGGGCUUAUCACAGCUUCACUCCUCAGACCAUCAACAAAUGCCUGAGAUGACACAUUUCAUUGGCAUUUCUUCUCUCUUAAGUCUUCUGUAGCACUUCCCAGUUUACAAAGCACCUCCUCCGCAGGCUUUCUCCAGCUACACAACUUUAGAUCAAGUCACAGGAACCUGAAGGACACCACAGGUGCUUCCAGCAAGGGCAUCUGGAAGGCCUGUGGUCCGCGGUGGCUCAGGAAGCUUAGAAAAAAUCCAUUCUAGGCCGGGCGUGGUGGCUCACGCCUGUAAUCCCAGCAUUUGGGAGGCUGAGGCGUGUGGAUCAUGAGGUCAGGAGAUCAAGACCAUCCUGGCUAAUACACUGAAACCCUGUCUCUACUAAAAAUACAAAAAAUUAGCCGGGCGUGGUGGCGGGUGCCUGUAGUCCCAGCUACUCAGGAGGCUGAGGCAGGAGAAUGGCGUGAACCUGGGGGGCAGAACUUGCAGUAAGCCGAGAUCCUGCCACUGUACUGCAGCCUGGGCGACAGAGCAAGACUCCUCCGUCUCAAAAAAAAAAAAAAAAGAAAAAUCCAUUCUGAAAUUCAUUUGGAAUUUCAAAGGACCCUGAUUAGCUAAAACAAUCUUGGAAAACUUGGAGGAUCCACAUUUCUUGAUUUCAAAACUUACUACAAAACUACAGUAAUCAAAAGUGUGGUACUGGCAUAAGGACAGAAAUAUAGACCAAUGAAAUAGAAUACAAAGCCCAGCAAUAAACCCUCACAUUGAUUUUCAACUGAUUUUCUACUAUACUGUCAAGACCAUUGAAUGGGAACAGUCUUACUAACAAAUGGUACUGAGAAAACUAGAUAUCCAUAUGCAAAAAAAUGAAAUUGGACCCUUACCUCACCUCACAUACAAAUAUCAACUCAAAACAUAUCAAAGACCUAAACGUAAAAGCUAAAACUACAAAAUUCUUAGGAAAAAAUAGGAAAGAAUCCUCAUGACUUGAAUUUGGCAAUAAUUGCUUAAACAUGACCACAAAAGCAUGGCAGCAAAAGAAAAAAUAGAUAAAUCAGAUUCCAUCAAAAUUUAAACAUUAGUGCAUAAAAGGAAACUACAGUAUCAACAGAGUAAAAAGAUAAUUCAUGGAAUGGCAGAAAGUUUCAAAUCAUGUAUCUGUUAAGUGAUUAAUAUCUGGAAUAUACAAAAAUUCCUACAGCUGAACAAAAAAAUUCAACCAAAUUAACACUGGGCAAGGGAUUUGCAUAGACGUUUCUCCAAAGAAGAUAUACAAAUAGACAACAAGCACAUGAAAAGAUGCCCAACAUCAUCAGUCACUAGGGAAAUACAAACCUAAAUCACACUGAGUUACCACUUCAUAUUCACUGGGAUGGCUAUUACAAAAAUUAAAAUAAUGGGAAAAGGAAAAUAACAAGAUAACAGUGUUGGUGAGGACAUGGAGAAACUGGAACCUGCAUGCAAUGUUGAUAGAAGUUUAAAAUGGUGCAGCCACUGUGGAAAAUAGUUUGGCCAUUCCUUAAAAAGCUGAACAUAGAAUUACUCUGUGACCCAGAAAUCUCACUCCUAGGUAUGUACUCAAAAGAACUAAGUUGGAUGUGGUGACACAUACCUGUAAUCUCAGCUACUCAGGAGGCUAAGACAGGAGGAUGGCUUGAGCCCAGGAGUUUGAGACCAGCCUGGGCAAUAUAAUGAGACCCUAUCUCUAAAAAAAAAAAAAAAAAAAAAAAAAGAAAGAAAGAAAAAAAGAAAAAACUGAAGAAGAUACUUGUACACCAAUGUUCAUAGCAGCAUUAUUCAUGAUAGCUAAGAGAUAGAAACAACCCAAAUGUCUAUCAACAGAUGAAUGGGUAAACAAAAUGUGGUAUAGCCAUACAAUGGAGUAUUAUUCAGCCUUUAAAAAGGAAGAAAUUCUGACACAUUGCUACGGAUGAAUCUUGAAGGCAUUAUGUUAAGUGAAAUAAGCCAAUCACAAAAGGACAAAUAUUGCAUGAUUCCAUUUAUAUGAGGUAUCUAGAAUAGGCAAAUUCAUAGAAACAGAAAGUAGAAUAGAGGCUACCUAGGGAUGGGGAGAGCAUAGAAUAGGGUUUAGUGCUUAAUGAAUACAGAGCUACUGUUUGAGGUUAUGAAAAAGUUCCAGAAAUAGUGGUGAUAGGUGCACCACAUUUGAAUGUACUUAAUGCCACUGAAUUCUGCACUUUAAAAUAAAUUGAAAUUUACACUUAAAUUUAGGUCUUUGAUCCAUUUUGAGUUAAUCCUUUUCUCAGCAACUGAUAAAACAAUGAUGCAGAAAAUCAGCAAGGAGAGAACAUCAGAGCAACACAAUCAACCAACAGAACCACUGCACGCAACAAUAGCAAGCUACAAGUUAUUUUCAAACAUCUAUGAAACAUCCACCAAGGCCGACAUUGUCCUGUGCCAUAAAACAAGUCUCAACAAAAUUUAAAGUACAGAAAUCUGCAGAGUACAUUCCCUGACCAUGGAAUAAAACCAUAAAUCUAUGACAGAAAGAAAACAGAAAAACUCCAAUCAUGUAAAAAGUAAGCAACAUACUUCUAAAUAAUCCAUAGGUGAAAAGGGAAAUCUCAAAGGAAAUUAAAAAUACAUGGAACUGAGUGAAAAUUAAAAUAGAACAUAUCAAAAUAUGUGGGAUAUACCAAAAGCAGUGUUGAGAUUCUUAUAUCACUGAAUGCUUGAAUUAAUUAAAGAGAAAAAUUGUCCAGUCAACAAUCAAAGUCCCUACUCAAGAAACUAGGAAAAGGAAAACAAAAUAAAGUAAACAUGGGAGGGAAAUAAUGAAGAGGAGAAAUUUUCAUCUUACUGAUUUCUCCUCUUCAUUAUUUCCCAUUUUCUCCUCUUCAUUAUUUCCCUCCCAUGCUUGCUUUUUGUGUUUUCUACUGUUCUAGUAAAGAAAAGUUAAAAAAGAAAAAAGCAAUUAACAAAUCUGUUUUAAAAGCUGACAAAAGAGAAAAGACACAAAUUACCCAUGUCAGGAAUGAAGCCGAGCCAUGACUGCUGCUCCCGCCGCCACUGAACAGCUAAUAAGGGAAUAUCUUAAUAUCUUAAUAUCUUAAUCUUGUAGAUAUGUGAGGAUGGCUCUUUUUCCUUCAUAAUAGAUUACAUGUAUAAGCAAGUCAGGGCCAUGUACUGGAGACAGGCUAAAGCUGCUUUUCCCUUAAAGAAAGUUUCCUACAGACAAGGUAUUUAUGAGCAUUGAGAAAGUCGGGACACGUACUCUAAAUCACAAAGAGUGUUAAUUCCACAGGAAGGCAACGCCAGACAUUGGAAGAGGAUCACAUUCGACUUCUAAUAGUAGUUCAAUAACAAAACCUUAGCUUUUCAGAAACAAUGUUAACAUACGUUAGAAUUGCCACAUCCAUACCUUCAAAACAUGCAAUGUGUGCACCCCAAUCACUGCUUACAGUAUAAUCAGUAUGACGAUGAGAUUGAGGGGGUCUAAAUUUAAGUGUAUCAUCUCCUGUGUUAUGUGAAAAUAUCCCUCAGUACAAAACAUUUGUGUAUUUCACAGAUGACUCUUGUUUUGCCAUAACGCUACAAAGUUUAUGGAAACUAGUCAACUGAAGGAUUUUUCUGUUGUGUGAUAUGUAAAGGUCUGAAUAGUAAAAUCAUCUUUGCAUUCCUGAAGUGUUAAAAAAUAAUAAUCAACAUGUCAGAUUGUUGGGCUUUUCUUAGCAGAUGUUUUCUAAUUCAAAGUUUUUGGUUGUGUUUUUGUUUUUUAGUUCAAAGUUAAUUUGUUUGCCUCUUGAAGAUUAAUUUGUCUCAGCUUUCUAGGAACUGCCAAACAGUGAUAUUCUCAAAAGGAUUCAAUAAACUAGUUCAAAAAAUGUUCCUAUCUUCUAUUGCCUUAAAUCUAAUCAUGUUCUGUGAACUGCAGUCCUAGUGUGUAGCACGGCGUGAUUUAUCACCCAGAGUUCUCCACUGUAUUUCAAAGUUGAUUUACCUCAGGAAAACUGAGGGUUUAUUGAGUAACUCAAAUUUUUCCAGAGAAACUGGUUUGAAGUAUCCAGUGCAACUUGCCAAGCUCUGUCUUUGUUUAUAAACUCACUUACUGGUGACAUCAUUCAGGGUAGUCCCUCUCUAAAAACCUUGAAUUUUGUCUGGUCUUCUCGGAUGAGGAAUUCUGAACCUGGUACAAUCUCAUUCUAACUCUUCUCUUAUGUACUAAGUACUUAUAUUAUAUACCUUUCUGUAACUUAACAGGAAAAGGCUGACCAUUUUUGGUAUUUUUUCAGUGACACAUUUUUCAGUGUCUAAGCUCACACUCAUUUGUAAUUAACUACAUGAUUUUUAAUACAAUUUCUACUACUUUGGGUUUUAUUUCCCAGGUAUAGACAUUGUCCUCUUAAUGUUUUCUUAAGGAAUUAUUCAGAGUAGAUUAUUAACAACUUAAGGUCCUAAACAGAUAUACAUGGGACAUGGUUGUUGUAAAAAGAAACAAAUCUGUAAGACACUAGGAAAUUCAAAAUGCUUUCAAGCUUUCUUUGAACUUUACUACUGAAUGAUUUAUUUGCAACUCAUUAUCUGGUG